UACGUAGGUGGCGAGCGUUAUCCGGAAUUACUGGGCGUAAAGCGUGCGCAGGCGGUUUUGUAAGACAGGCGUGAAAUCCCCGGGCUCAACCUGGGAAUGGCGCUUGUGACUGCAAAGCUGGAGUGCGGCAGAGGGGGAUGGAAUUCCGCGUGUAGCAGUGAAAUGCGUAGAUAUGCGGAGGAACACCGAUGGCGAAGGCAAUCCCCUGGGCCUGCACUGACGCUCCAUGCACGA
rnacentral:rRNA from 1 species